GGCUGCUGCCGGGUAUGUGCACGGCGGCUGGGGGAGCCCUGCGACCAACUCCAUGUCUGCGACGCCGGCCAGGGCCUGGUCUGCCAGCCCGGGGCAGGACCCGGUGGCCGGGGGGCCCAGUGUCUCUGUAAGCAGUGGCAGAGGACGACGGCAGCUGUGAGGUGAACGGCCGCCUGUAUCGGGAGGGGGAGACCUUCCAGCCCCACUGCAGCAUCCGCUGCCGCUGCGAGGACGGCGGCUUCACCUGCGUGCCUCUGUGCAGCGAGGACGUGCGGCUGCCCAGCUGGGACUGCCCCCACCCCAGGAGGGUCGAGGUCCUGGGCAAGUGCUGCCCUGAGUGGGUGUGCGGCCAAGGAGGGGAACUGGGGACCCAGCCCCUUCCAGCCCAAGGACCCCAGUUUUCUGGCCUUGUCUCUUCCCUGCCCCCUGGUGUCCCCUGCCCAGAAUGGAGCACAGCCUGGGGACCCUGCUCGACCACCUGUGGGCUGGGCAUGGCCAGCCGGGUGUCCAACCAGAACCGCUUCUGCCGACUGGAGACCCAGCGCCGCCUGUGCCUGUCCAGGCCCUGCCCGCCCCCCAGGGGUCGAAGUCCACAAAACAGUGCCUUCUAGAGCUGGGCUGGGAAUGGGGACACGGUGUCCACCAUCCCCAGCUGGUGGCCUUGUGCCUGGGCCCUGGGCUGAUGGAAGAUGGUCCGUGCCCACGCCCUUGGCUGCAGGCAGCACUUUAGCUUGGGUCCACCAUGCAGGACACCAAUAUUAACACGCUGCCUAGUCUGUCUGGAU
rnacentral:sRNA from 1 species